UGCAGCUAACUAUUUUCAUUUAUCCACUAAGCAUCAUCUUAUAGAUUUAUAAUUGGUAAGUGUAGUUUGUAGUAGUCAUGGCGUCUACUGAAAAGCCGGUCGACGUGGAAGCUGGCAAGGUGGAGGAAGCUCCGCCGCCGCUGGAACCAGAGGCAGCUGAGGCGCCACCACCAGAGGCAGAGGGGGAGGCUCCUCCCAAAGCGGAGCGCGAGGCUCCACCUCCACCGCCACCGAUAAAUACCUGCAUACUGGUGGAUGGGAUUCUCAGGCUGCUGGUGUUCGCAGCGGCAUUGGCAGCAGUGGUUGUGAUAGCCACCAGUGACCAGACUGAGGCGGUGCCGGUGCCGGGGCAGGGGUCGCAGCGUGUUGAGGCCAAGUUCACUCAGUCUCCAGCUCUCAUAUAUGUAAAGACCAAGUUGCGAAUCAAAGAGGGUGUAGCACCCAUAAAUUCCAAGCUCGAUACUCAAUGGGACUCUAUUUCGUGGUGGCAUGGUCAGUGACUGGACUUCACUUCUUAAUCACGGGAUUUGAAUCAAUUUUAUCCCUCUUUAGACCAGUCCUCCCCAAGAUCUGCCGUCUUUUUCUCCUCAUCGUUGAUGUGGUAUUGCUGGGUAUAGUAGCCUCCGCAACAGGCACGGCCGGGGCAGUCGGGUAUAUCGGGCUUAAGGGCAACAGCCACGUCCGCUGGAACAAGAUCUGUGGGGUUUAUGAUACGUUCUGCGAUCAUCUGGCGGCUUCCCUCGCUCUGUCGCUGUUCGGUUCCGUCAUCCUUGUCAUCCUCAUCAUUCUCUCCGUACUCUCUCUCUAUAAGAAGAUCCCCAAUUAGUGAUAGAGGGUGGCCCCCUUGCACAUGAUUUGGUUUGUAUAUGUCGUGUGAUGAUCAUCGCGUCAUGUUGAUUCUUCAAUUAAUGUUGGUGUUAUUAUUAGGGUUUAUUUUAUAUAUUGUAGAUCAUAGAGGAAUUAAUUUGAUUGUAUGGGGUAAGAAAGAAAAAGAAAAGAGUGUGUGAGUGGCUUUGUUCGUCAGCACACAAGUGUUACAUUAUUGUGUCUAUUGCCUGAUUAUUUAAGUAAUACUAGUAAAAUUACACGUGCAUUGCA